CUGCUACAGUCCAGGCCAGCCUGGCUUCAAACUUAAGAAAAUCUCCCAGUCUGACUCUUAGCAGCUGAGAUUGCAGGAUGACUCAGCAGCUGCAGCAAAACAUCCAGUUGACAAGCUCUGCUAGUAGAUGACACUAAGUCCCAGGCAUUCGCUGGUGAUUCGUUAUUCUUAGGUGAAAAGUGUGCCUGUCUUAACCUCUACUGUAAAAUAUUAGGUGAAGUAAAAUGGCCAGGCUUGUGACCUGGUUUUAAUCUUAAAAUCGGCUUGCAAAUACUCCUGCUCCUUAGCAUUCUGUACACAUCUAGAGAAAAUGGUAAUAGUGCCAAGCCUCCCAACCAAUGGAAAGUAACUUUUGGGUACAUAAUCAGUUUUUACUAUUCAAAACUUUUUCUCAGAUCUUUACUUUUUAAACUAUCGAAAGUGAUACAAUAUAACAUUACCAAACAAAACGCUAAGAAUUCAAUUUCAGCACUUCCCAAAAUAAAACAAAGUCUACAUUUAACAGUAUGCAACAAGUUAUUAGGACUUCUUCAACAAGUCUAAAACGCACACUUCCUACUUUAGUUCACCGAGGUACUUUAAGUGGCUUUGUUUCAAUAAGUUUUUAACACUCUUAACUCACAAGCAAUUUUUAAACACUGAAAUCUUUCUCAGAACCAAAUAUCUCAUUUACAAGAGGAAGCAACUUUUUUAAAUUAUAAACAUCCACAAAGGCAUACGACGGCUUAACUAUAUAAGACCACUAUGUGUGCCCAAAGUGCCUUAAACUACUAGAAAACGCCCAGUAUUAAAAAUAUUUGGUGUAUGAGAUCAGAGCUGGAGAACUGGUUAAGCGUCCUGAGAAUGGUUGAUUCUGGCCUUCAAAUUACAGAGCGGGGAGGAGAGGAGAGGAGAGGAGAGAGGAAGAAUCGCGCAGCAGAGACCAGACGUAAGAAUAGAGAGGGACUUUCAAAACGCCUCAGUGCCAUAGUAACUAUAACUUAACAUAGGUUAAGAGUGGCAGAGGAGGAGAAGCUAAGGCAGCGUGUGCAGAUCGGGGAAGGCCAACCCGGGAGAUGAGCGGACCGGAUAACCAGUAACGUCUCAAUGCAGCUAAGACUGAAUUAGUCCACGAUGCGGGGAACAGCGCCCCCCUCCCCAAGUCCCUCUGGGCCGCAGCAGCAACUACCCUCGCCACGCACCCUCAACCCGCGAGCACCGGAAAGAAAAAGAAAAGAAAUAAAGUCUGCUAGCCGAUGGGCCUAUUGCCACAUCUCUUUCCCUUGUUCCUGUGCGAGGUCAUGAGUAAUCCCAUCAAACCCCCAAAACCCGCCAAAAAAGAAACCCGAGUAUCCAAAG